UUCACUGUUCUGUAGUGCAUCAACAGAAGUAGUUUGACUGAACCGCUGACAGGUCUUUAAAUUUCACAUUUGUGCGAGCUGGAAAGACGAAGUCACAACAACGUACAGCUGGAUAUAAAAGACUUAAGAGGCAACACGUCGUACAUACACUAGAUGGCACCACGCCUACACAAGUGUCCACAUGCUGGACAUUAAGCAGCACCAAAAAGGUAGACCAAAGAGAUUAAAAAUAAAUAUUUAUUCUUUUUAAAACAGCAAAUAUCCACAGGACAACAGCUGCAUCUGUUUGGAGGAAGAGCAAUGUCAGAAACAGUGUUCAAGCGAAUGGAAGAUUAGGAAGUAAUCAUUUUUCCCAGCCGGAUCCUCUUCCACACGGCUUUGGGAUGAACACGCCGGACUGGCUUGUAUGAUGCCGAUGGUUGCUGGGGGGCCGCGAAGGCCUGCUGCGGCACCGAGGGACGCUGGGGGGGCAGGUAGGCCUGCCCUGGCACUACCGGGUGUGGGGGGUCCAGGUAGAUCUGCUGCGGCACCGAGGGACGCUGGGGGGGCAGGUAGGCCUGCCCUGGCACUACCGGGUGUGGGGGGUCCAGGUAGAUCUGCUGCGGCACAGAGGGACGCAGGGGGUCCAGGUAGGCCUUCCCCGGCGCUAAUGGGCGCAGGGGGUCCAGGUAGGCCUGCCCCGGCGCUGAGGGGCGCAGGGGGUCCAGGUAGGCCUGCCCCGGCGCUGAGGGGCGCAGGGGGUCCAGGUAGGCCUGCCCCGGCGCUGAGGGACGCUGAGGGAACAGGUAGGCCUGCCCCGGCGCUGAGGGGCGCGGGGGGUCCAGGUAGAUCUGCAGCGAGGGACGCUGAGGGAACAGGUAGGCCUUCCCCGGCGCUAACGGGCGCUGGGGUUCCAGGUAGAUCUGCUGCGGCACCGAGGGACGCUGAGGGAACAGGUAGGCCUUCCCCGGCGCUAACGGGCGCGGGGGGUCCAGGUAGAUCUGCUGCGGCGCUGAGGGACGCUGAGGGUCCACGUAUUCCUGCUGCCGUACAGGCUGGCGCCCGGGAGCCCUGCCGGUCGGCUUACUGUAUAUCACGCUCUCCUUCUCAGCGGGUUCCUUCAGUUGUAUGAUGGCGUGGCCACCGAAGCGCUCGGGGAUGGAGAUGGGUCCGAAGUGCUGCGCAGAGGUCCUGGACGCAGGGAGGUCACGGGCGCCCUGCGCCGGGUUACUGCCGCGCCAGGGGGUUUUGCGGUAGAUCUUACUGCCGGGCCUCUGCUUGGAGAAGCUCGUUGUUCCACUGGCUUCGUUGGACGCCGUAGACUGGCUGUGACGUUGGGGGAUAAAGGUGACGUGGGGCGCUGAAGCAGGCGUGUAGCUUUGUUGGGCUUGUCCUGCCUUCAUAGGGACCUCUGGGUGUUGGUUUCCAGCCUCCGGCCAACUCGGGAUAUUUCCAUUUCUCUCACUUGUUGGUGAGGACAAACGGGUCGGGUUAGAUGCCUCAGAGCCCAGACGCGAAGACACCAGUGUGGCGAACGCGCUGGCCGAUGUCGCCGUGCGACCAGGGAUUUGGUUUAGCAGAGCAGCAUCUAUGUCAGCAUCCAUGUCCAACAGGCUCAACGGAUAGUUGCCAGUACUCGGUGUAUUUGACCAAGUUCCCCUGCUAAUGGUAGUUUGAUGGUGCGUUUCAAAUGAACCACCACCAAUAAGAGCAGUAGAAAGGCCAAAUAUUUGCAGUGGCAUAGUUUCCUGAUUCAAGUUGGGUUUUGACUCAGAGCUGCUCUGCACCAACCCGGCAAAAACGCUGCUUGGUCUCGGAGCUGCAGGAGAAAACAAAAAACGCAUUAAUGCACAACCAAUACAUCACACCAAUAACUGAAGAGAACGGUGUUGCUCACCUUUCGUAGCCCACAAAUGCUCUACCUGAACUAAGCAAAUCAGCAAUAUUCUGCACAGAAAACAAGACACGCACUCAGAAAUGGUACAGAAACUCAACAAAAAUUGCCAAUAAGUGCCAGAACUCACCCCAAAUGAAGUCCACAAGCCGGUUCCAUAUUGAACCGCAAGCACUCCAGUCAGUCCAGUAACCCGACUGUCCUGAAGCUGCUUGUUCUGUGUGUGUGUGUGAGCAGCAGAAAAGAAGCAUUUAUUAAGCAACCUGCAUUCAGUUGCUUCCUAAUUAGAAGGUGUCAGCUGUUAGAGUGCUGUUGAUUAUCUAAUUUCCUUCCACCCCAGUGUUUUCAAAUCAUGUGUUCGUAAGGAAAAAAGUUUGCUAUCAAGGGCUUUUUUUCCACACACACACACUUGUAACGAGAGUUAACAUUUCUUGCCCACAUUGUUCCUCCGAGGUUUCUCCUGACCGUGAGAAACACCAUUAGUCUUAACGGCCUUAUUAACCUCAUAACCGAUGACUCCUGCUCCAUCUGAUUAGGUUUAAACAACUGUGGGGAAUGACACGCACAAUGCACGGUGAGUGUGACCUCAUCGGCUUCCUGUGUCUACUCCACUGAUCUGUGACCAUGUGGCACGCUCCACAUGGACCCCUAAACACGCUAAACACCCCCCCCCCCACACACACACACUCCCUAUGAGUCUGGCAGGUGUGAAUCUUCUCCCCACACUGUUCUCAUUCAAUCUGUCACGCUGUCCUGCUUUCCCCAGAACUGCACAGGAGCUUCAUCCUUUCCUACUUCCUUAACCCAGAUUUGAUUGAAAAUGUCGUCUUUUGGGCCCCUGAGUGUCCGGUGUGCUUCAUGGACGUCCUGUGUGAGGCCCCGGAGAACGACGCCUCGCCUGCGAUGGCCAGAUGGGUGCGGCGGCGUGGAUCAAAGACACAAUUUCCUGUCGCAGGAAAUAGCGAGAAGGAACCGCUUCCUCCCCCCGGGGGAAUUCUUUCCAUCACGCUUAUCAACUUUCAUACGAGCGAGAACAGCAAGUGAAAUCAGCAAAACCAUCCCUGAUACAACAGGCGUUGACACACACACACACACACACACACAACAGAAGGGUAAAUCAAACGACGGGUGGAGAUCUUUUCUUUAAAAAAGGCGACUCAUUCUCCUUGUGGAUUAUUGCUCUCAUUUAAAUUCCAAAGAUACGAUAUUCAGGACUCCAUGUUCGAUUUUUGCGAGCAUCGUGAUGAUCUUUGUGUUUAACUGCACUUCUGGCCACGGUCGUGCUUUAAGGGACCACAUUCUAUAUCAGUGCUCUUAUUGCAGGACUCCCUGCACCCAUUAUAAAUAAAAUAAACAAUAAUAAUAAUAUAAAUAAAUAAAUAAAGUUCCUUUAAUUCUGAUCCCAUUCAUUCCUACUGGAUGAACACUUUUGGAAAACUGGUCACAACUAUAUUGAUACUUUUCAAAAAAGUUAAUCUAAACAGCAGGAUCACUUUUUCAAUUUGUGAGUGUUAAAAAAUCUGCUUAAAACAUCUAUAAGACAGUUCCCAUAGAAACGAUGUAGCACCUCAUCAACAAGUUUCAUUAAUACUUCCAAAGGAAACAAUUUAACAAAGGCUGGCGUGUUGUCAUUCUAUUUAUGUCCUCUACGCGAUGCUGAUACUGAAGAGAGAGAUCAUCAUUAUCAUUAUCUCAUUCUAACAUUCUUCCAUAGUGAGCGGCGUCAUCUCCUCGGAGUCCUUGGUGUGGUUAAGAGUCAAAAAGACGGCCAGCAGACGGUGUCUCCGAUCCGCUCUUCGGCCUCUCGGACCGCUCUUCUCCUGCCGGAUGUGCUGGGCUCCCUCCCGCUCCGGCAUCUGGUCCGGCAUCUGAAAUAAUGGAGGUAUUAAUAACAAGCUUGUGUCUCCGUCCUCCCCCCCCCCGGGGAGGUGAGAGGUCAAACUACCUGCGGAGAGUUCACACCCGUGACACGUUCCAGGAGCGGCUCGAGGAUCCGUCGGCAGGGAGGCUGCUCUCUUUGCACCUCAGUUCCUACUUUAAGUCGGCUGUAUUAUUUGUGUUAUGAAGCUAUUUAUGUCCCAUUUGGAAGCAGAAUAAGCUGAAGACUUCACCAUUUAAUUGGGUUUCCAACAUAGACUGGAAAUAAAAAAGUUGAUAUAUCACCGUUAGUUUGUGAAUUUGUGGCCAAUGAAGAAUAAGCCAAACACUGAGUAAGCCAUUUUAAGGCAACCAAAAACAGAUUUAAAAUGUCCAUUAAAUGUCUUCCCCUGGACUAAAAAGUAGAAGAAAAUAAUAAUCCCAGUAUAAAAGAAGUCAUUGCAUGUUACCUAUUGAAGGGGUAUUCCCAAGUGUCUUCGAAUUACUAUUAUUAUUAUGAAAUGAUUAUUAUAGAAGCACUUAUUAUUUAUCCCUCAUAUGGGGGAAUCCAAGUUUUAGGCCGGACACGUUUGUAUUUGGCUCGCUCACUGCAAAACCAAGAAAGCCAACUCAUCGAUCCGCUGAGGAGACGAAGUGAGCCGUGAGUAGCGUGUCCUUCUUUAAAACAGGCCACGGCCAUUUGUAAUCAACCCGUUCCAGACAAACACAAGAGGGGCUCUUUAAUAGGUACGCUGAUGGGUACGGUGUCAAUGGGGGCAACUCAUCUUUGUGCUUUGCCGUAAUCCCUUUGCGAGAUUGUAAAGCGGUCGCCUUUCCAGCUCCAGUGUUUGGAGGGCGAACGAGGCCGGGGGGGCGGGGGGGAGAAACGUCUCUCUGAUUGAAGCCUCCUUCUCCUGCAAACAACAACAAAACCAAACCUGUGCAGCGCAGCACGGACGGGGAGACGCGGAGCUCACCGAGGCUUCAGGAGGCUCUCAGGAGGGGAGGUCAUUGGGGGGUCGGGGGUCGGGGGGCUGUAAUGCCUGGCAGAGCCGUGCUGUUGCUCUGUUUGCAGUCAAAUCGGAGAUCAAUGGAGGAACGGUCGUGGGUGGGAAUGAUAGAUUAUACAAUAAAAAUAAAAUUGAGCUUUAUCAAAAAUGGGAUUUCAAUUUGAUCCUGCUUCUCUUUUCUUCAGGAAAUUUAAGCUGUGGUUGCUGUUGUGCAGAUUUUUCCAAAGUGCUCAGGAGUGAUUCCAGGCAGGAUUCCAUGCUCUUGUGUUUUUAGGUUUACAGUUUAUAUAAAGUUUAUAUAAAGACCUCAUCAUCUCACAUCAUCUGUUAAUAACAAACAAUGAGCUUUUCUUCAUCUGACUGGUCUCUUCUGAUUGAACUCUUUUGGUUAAUUACUUAAUAUUGUUUGGGUAUCACAACUUUGCAAAGUGCAGGAAGGACCUGAGAACAAACAUGUAAGUUUGCCUUUUGGGUUGAUGUCAGACAGAGACGACAUUUCAAACAAAUACCUUGAUCCAGGUGAUGUGUGAGCGCUGUUAGCUCCGCCCUUUAUUUAAGAGUUGCGGGGGGGGGCUGUUUGGGCUUCAACGGGGAGUUGAGCCGGAUGAACAGAGUCCUCCUCACUACCUUCCUCUGGCAACACAAUCAGUCACAUUGAUCGAGCGAGCAGCAGAACUAACCACACUCGUUGGACGUGACAGACGGGCCACGGUGCCCUGAAUGAUGGGUUGUGUCCUCAGUUGAGGGAGACGAGACAGGCUCGUUUGUCGUGUCCUUGCCAGAGGGGGAGUAGAUGCCACUUGGCCUCCUGUCGUCACGCCGCUGACUUUUUAACGUGUUCAAUUCCUCACAGAUGUGUUGGGUUUCCCCAUCAGGGCCAUUAAACCCGACGCAAGGGCGCCAAGAUGUUCCCGGAGACAGGAGGCGCUUUGAGAUAAAAAAAAAAGCCUUCUGUGUUCCAGAGGGACACGAGAGAAAAGAAACGCUCUCAUUUUUGCAAUAUACAAACCCACACGCUGCAGCGACAUAAAGCUCUGAAAACUGCCCCCUCGAAGGAAACAGGACGUCACAAACAGAUCAAGGCGAGUUGAAAUAAAGGGGUGAGCAUUGAAUCUGAUAUGUGAAACAGCCUGAAGGAACACUAAUUGCAGCAACCUCUCUCCUUUUAACAGGCCUCCCAUUCGCACUGGGAGUAAUGGGCAACGUCUGGAUGCAGUCGCAGGGUUCCUGUGUUUUCAUUGCUUUCCCGCUGAGACGAUCUACUGCAAACAGACCAUGUGUCUUUCAAACAGCCAGACUCAUAAAAAGACAGGAAAGCCACCGGUCCUAAUCCGCGCUUUAAUGAGCCAAAAUGGAAGUAAUGACGUCCAGGGAAUAAUCUUUCCCCCUCGCGCCGCUCCGACAAUUGAAACCAGCAACCCGUGGCCGGCGUAAUGGCCCCGGCUGAGACGGGACUCCUCCCGGGAUUUUCUCCCACGCGGCAAUCAUCAAGAACGAUGACGCUUUUAACAAUAGCUGGCUGAGAGCGCUUGAAUUUGUCAUCGUGACUGAAUCCUAUUAUGCGGCGGCAUAAUGGCCGCCUGUGGACGGAGGGCGGGCGACGCAAGGCUUCUCUCAGCACCGGGAAACAAAGCUCAUUGGAGGCGUCUCGCCGCCCUUUGUGUCGGCCGAGGAACCUCAAUCGUUUUCUCCCCCUGCGAUGACUUCCAGCGGAGAAGUGAUCGGGCCAGAGUGGAGUCCAAAUAUUAUUAGGUAGACGUUCCCUUCUGCUUCUUAGCUUUGGGCUAAAUGAGCGCACAGGCGUUUCGAUUAUAGAGCUUUAUUUUGUCAUCACACACGCAGCGAAAUGGUUCGAUGUUCUGAACAUUCCUGGACGGGUUUGGAAAACAUCUUGGGAGGGCGAAGGAGCUGCCUAAGCUUUGAGCUUUGGGAA
ensembl:lncRNA